GAUGAACGCUGGCGGCGUGCCUAAUACAUGCAAGUCGAGCGAACAGACGAGGAGCUUGCUCCUCUGACGUUAGCGGCGGACGGGUGAGUAACACGUGGAUAACCUACCUAUAAGACUGGGAUAACUUCGGGAAACCGGAGCUAAUACCGGAUAAUAUAUUGAACCGCAAGGUUCAAUAGUGAAAGACGGUUUUGCUGUCACUUAUAGAUGGAUCCGCGCCGCAUUAGCUAGUUGGUAAGGUAACGGCUUACCAAGGCGACGAUGCGUAGCCGACCUGAGAGGGUGAUCGGCCACACUGGAACUGAGACACGGUCCAGACUCCUACGGGAGGCAGCAGUAGGGAAUCUUCCGCAAUGGGCGAAAGCCUGACGGAGCAACGACGCGUGAGUGAUGAAGGUCUUCGGAUCGUAAAACUCUGUUAUUAGGGAAGAACAAAUGUGUAAGUAACUAUGCACGUCUUGACGGUACCUAAUCAGAAAGCCACGGCUAACUACGUG
rnacentral:rRNA from 1 species